rnacentral:rRNA from 1 species
AUACGGAGGGGGCGAGCGUUGUUCGGAUUUACUGGGCGUAAAGGGCGUGUAGGCGGGCGAUCAAGUCAGGGGUGAAAGGCCUGGGCUCAACCUAGGAACUGCCUUUGAAACUGAUUGUCUAGAGUCCGGGAGAGGAUGGCGGAAUUCCCAGUGUAGAGGUGAAAUUCGUAGAUAUUGGGAAGAACACCGGUGGCGAAGGCGGCCAUCUGGACCGGCACUGCCGCUGAGGCGCGAAAGCGUGGGGAGCAAACAGGAUUAGAAACCCCAGUAGUCC